UCCUGCUUGUUUUGUCGCCGGGAAACUCGUCGCCGUUGGGGUUGCACCGCCGCUGUUCCUGCUGUGGCUGGUGUCGCACCAGAGAACCAUCAUCGCAGGUUGAGGCUAACCCUUUUUGCUGUCGUUCAUCGUUGCUGCAGCUGACUUGCGGCUGUUGGAUCUGAUCGGAGAGGUGGGUGGUGAUGGCGGUGGAUGUUGGUGCUGGUUAGCGCAUCACUGCUGCUGGCUGUUUUGAGCUGCUCUGCCGUCUCUGCCACCGGAUAAUGUAGCUUAGUCGCCGGAAAAGUUUGCCGUUGUCGUGAUCGGAAUUUGUCGCCGCUGCCGCUUGAGGUGGCUGCCGCUGAACCGGUUCAGAGACCGCCGCUAUUUCGGAUCAGCCGCUCUUUCUUCGGUUCGAGUUGUUGAGACUGUUGCGAAAGUGGCUUGGAGCUGAGGUUUUGGUUGCCGGUGAUUUCGAGUCGAGGCGGAAAGGAUUCUGUGACGCGUUUGGGCUAUGGUUUUGUGUUUUGAGGAUAUGGGCGCAGAAGUUACGAAGAAUUUAUUUAGUUAUUGUUGUGAUGUUCUGUAUUGUUUUGGAUUAUUAGUUAUUGUACCCUCGCCUUUAUCUUGAUAUAUUCUGUAAGAGGGAUAGGAAUUGUAUUGGUUACUGUUUGUAAUAUCAUUUAUAUAUAUGUAUGUAUAUAUAUAUGGAUGUGCUCUUUAUGAGUUUCUGUAAGUUGUAUGGUAUGUAUGGAUAUUCGUUGUAUAGCAAAAGUAGUUUUGGGAGCGGUAUUGCGGUUUAAAGUUUUAAACAGGCUCAUAUUUUAGUAUCAAAUAGCAUAAGUGUCAUCGUAAUGUCCGAGCUAUCAGAGUUGCGCAGCCGGAAGCGUGAGCUUU